rnacentral:sRNA from 1 species
UCUAUUUAUAAAAAAUAUUUUAUUUUAUAGUUUACAACUGUUAUUAAGUAACGUCCUGCCAAACCCGUCCAGCAAAACUCGUCCUGCAAAAAAAAA